CCUACGGGUGGCAGCAGUGAGGAAUAUUGGUCAAUGGGCGCGAGCCUGAACCAGCCAAGUCGCGUGAGGGAAGACGGUCCUAUGGUUUGUAAACCUCUUUUGUCGGGGAGCAAAAGACGCCACGCGUGGCGUUUCGAGAGUACCCGAAGAAAAAGCCUCGGCUAACUCCGUGCCAGCAGCCGCGGUAAUACGGCGGGGGCAAGCGUUAUCCGGAUUUACUGGGUGUAAAGGGGGCGACGACGGCAAUGCAAGCCAGGAGUGAAAGCCCGGGGCCCAACCACGGAACUGCUCUUGGAACUGCAUGGCUGGAGUACAGGAGGGGCAGGCGGAAUUCCUAGUGUAGCGGUGAAAUGCGUAGAUAUUAGGAGGAACACCGGUGGCGAAGGCGGCCUGCUGGACUGUGACUGACGUUGAGGCCCGAAGGCGUGGGGAGCAAACAGGAUUAGAUACCCCAGUAGUC
rnacentral:rRNA from 1 species